rnacentral:tRNA from 3 species
GUGCCAUUAGCUCAAUAGGUAGAGCACUUGACUUUUAAUCAAGAUGUUGAGGGUUCAAGUCCCUUAUGGCACA